rnacentral:lncRNA from 1 species
UCCAGGCGUGUGCGUCAAGCCGAGGUAAGGAGCUGCAAAUAUUUAUGUAUGUAAUAAUUUCACCAGAUCCUAACUGCUCGAUCCGUAGUUUAAUCAGCCAGCAGUUUCCUGCAACGAUGACGAGUAAACUAAUCACGGUGCUCGGCAUCAGCUUGUUUUGUGCAUAGGGUAGGCCGUACGGAAUAACCAACAGAAUGUACUUACUCCAGUAAGCAUGGUUAGCAAGUGGAGCAUUGUUAUGCGGCGCUGUGUGAACAGCAUUCAGUUGAUAACGUUGGAUACUGACUCGGCACGACGGCGACACUGUCCUGUCCUGCCUGGCACACAUGGACGCUCCUGUCGUCUUGCUCUCAUCGUUGCUUCAACACAAAGAAAAGGAAGAA